GAUGAACGCUGGCGGCGUGCCUAAUACAUGCAAGUCGAGCGAACAGACGAGGAGCUUGCUCCUCUGACGUUAGCGGCGGACGGGUGAGUAACACGUGGAUAACCUACCUAUAAGACUGGGAUAACUUCGGGAAACCGGAGCUAAUACCGGAUAAUAUAUUGAACCGCAUGGUUCAAUAGUGAAAGACGGUUUUGCUGUCACUUAUAGAUGGAUCCGCGCCGCAUUAGCUAGUUGGUAAGGUAACGGCUUACCAAGGCAACGAUGCGUAGCCGACCUGAGAGGGUGAACGGCCACACUGGAACUGAGACACGGUCCAGACUCCUAAGGGAGGCAGCCGUAGGGAAUCUUCCGCAAUGGGCGAAAGCCUGACGGAGCAACGCCGCGUGAGUUAUGAAGGUCUUCGGAUCGGAAAACUCUGUUAUUAGGGAAGAACAAAUGUGUAAGUAACUAUGCACGGCUUGACGGUACCUAAUCAGAAAGCCACGGCUAACUACGUG
rnacentral:rRNA from 1 species